rnacentral:rRNA from 1 species
AUGGAGCGGCGAGGAGCAGCGGCGGCGCCGUCGCUGGAGCUGCCGGGGUUCCGCUUCCACCCCACGGAGGAGGAGCUGCUGGAGUUCUACCUCAAGCACCACGUCACCCGAAACAACAAGCAGCAGCAGCUCAGGGCGCCGUUCGACAUCAUCCCCACGGUGCACCUGUACCGGCACGACCCCUGGGACCUCCCGGGCCUGGCCGCCAUCGCCAGCGAGCGCGAGUGGUACUUCUUCGUGCCCCGCGACGGCGCCCGGAAGCACGCGUCCGGCGUUGCCGGGGGCGGGCGCCCGAGCCGCACCACGGAGCGCGGGUUCUGGAAGGCCACGGGGUCCGACCGCGCCGUGCGCUGCGCCGCCGAUCCCAAGCGCCUCGUCGGGCUCAAGAAGACGCUCGUCUACUACCAGGGCCGCGCGCCCCGGGGCACCAAGACAGACUGGGUCAUGAACGAGUACCGCCUGCCCGACCUCGCCGGAGCCGGCGCCGGCGAGCAGCAGGACGUGGUGCUCUGCAAGGUGUACCGCAAGGCCGUGUCGCUCAAGGAGCUGGAGCAGCGGGUCGCCAUGGAGGAGCUCGCGCGCACGCGCUCCUCCCCGCCCACCACCACGGCCUCCCACUGCAGCGCCGGCUCGCCCGACGUCUCCUCCGCGUCGGAGGUCGCCAACGAGGCCGUCAACGCCGUCGUGCAGCACCAUGGCCACCACGGGGUGAAGAAGGAGGAGGCCGUGGCGGUGGCGAGGCCGCCGGCGAUGCGGCUGCCGCAGCUGGAGACGGCCAAGGGCGGCGCUGGGCUGGAGUGGAUGCAGGACCCGUUCCUGACGCAGCUGAGGAGCCCCUGGAUGGAGGGCCUCUGCUUGUCUCCCUACUACGCCAGCAGCGUCCUCAACUUCUAG